CGCGCUCGACGCCAAGGGACCUCGACACCCUCGGCCUCCCCCUCCUCCGCCCGGACUUCAUCGUUUGCAACUUCUUCAACGUGUUCGACGAGAACCCCUCGGUAUUCGCGGGCCUCUUCGUCAAGAAAGCCAGCCUCGGCUUGCUGGAGCGCUCCACCGUCGCGCGCAGCAUCGUCAUCGUGGACAUCGUCCCGGCGCGACGGUGGUCGCUCCACGACAAAUACUGCACCGACUUCGACAGCUCGCUCACCUCCCCCAAGCUGGCAGAGCGCUGCCGCAAACGGCGGUCAACGUCGACACCACCACAUCUUCCCCGGCCCGCUCAACGCGUCCGCCACCGGUCGCAGGACCGACGCGACUGAGAACAGCGACACGCCAGACAUUUGCGAAGUGGACAGAACGGCAUCUGCAUAUGAAGAGGAGAUCAUUCUGGAGGUGGAGUGCAGGGGCCUGGACCACGCGGACGCUCUGGGCCUGAUCACGAUCGGCAACUGGCUACGGUGCAACUGGCUGCUGGUGGCGAUACAGAGGCUGCGGCACCCGCACCCGGAGCACGGCCGCGGGCAGCAGCUGGUGUGACUGUACGGGCCGUGCGUCAAGUUCGAGCGAGGGGCCUCGCCGGCAUUCAACGUGUACGACUGGAAGGGGGAGAGGGUGGCGCCACUACUGCAAGUCUGCAACUGCGGUGGCUCCCUUCGUGCAGCGCACCAGGAUGAGAGGGCGCGGAAUAGGGGUACUAGGCCAGGCCUGCACUCGCUAUUGCUUCUUUUGAAAGACGAGAUUUAUUCUAUUUGGUGGCUGCAAAUUGUCUCCUGCAAGGAACAUUGAUCCGGGCGCGGAUCCGAGAUGCACAUUGCAGGACCAGAUAAGCACCGUCGCUUCAGCCUUCAGAUGCCAAAUGUUUGAUCCGGUCCAUAAUUUGUGACUAUUUUCCAAUGCAUGGUGCACCAUAUUGUGCGUGUUCCUCCUUGGGGCGACAUAGAGAGGAUUCUCCAACCAGUUGAGCAGCACCUUCAUCGAUCUGUGCGAUGCUAUAGUUGAGAUAGAAUUGUUGAUGUCGAAGUUUGCUAAGCUAAGCUUUAGAUGGGAAAGGCGGUAUUUGGAAUAACCUCAAUAUUACCUGCUGGGCUAUUGGAUCAAUAUAGUCAACGAGUCUCAGAAAAUAUAUCAUCAACGAUAUGCGAGACAAGGCGAUAGUUGCGGCUCCGUGUUGUAGUUCGAAUAACCUCAUUAGUAUCUUCUGAGCUAUUGGAUCAAUAUCAUCGACGAGAGUCUCUCAGGAAAAAUAUCAUCAACAAGAGGCAAGGCAAACUGUUGUUGCUCCGUGCUGCUCGGUUCUCUAAGGUAUCCACAAAUUGUUGAUGACAAAAUAAUUAGAAAUCGUUGACUUCCACUAAAAGAGAAGGUGAAUACUACAUAUGAUUGAUUUAGGAUUAAUUAUUAGGUAUGUUUUAUUUCCUUUCCCUGCAGUAUCGAAUGAGCCUGGUAUGUUGAGUAUAACUUUUCCUAAGCUCUCGAAUGAUAUUUACCAAGAGCUGAUUGUUUGAGCACUGUCACAUUUAUUUACUUUACCAACAUGGAGAAUAUUUCUACUUCAUAGAGUGGUGCUUUUUAUUUCAUUAAGAAAAAACGCAUAUGGGGGAACCUUAUUUUCUUCAUUGUGAUUUGCAAUGAAGCACUACAUGUUUAAAUCUCCCUCGGUACUUUAGUUAGGCCCUUAAUGCUACAAGGUGAUCAAUUUUCACUUAAAAUUAUGAAGCGAUGUCCAUAUAAUAGAGAAAGAUAGAUUUACACCGUAGGGGCUUCCCGUACGGUGAGGUGGUAAAAAAUACAAAAAUAUGUACAUCUACACAUGAUAAGAGAGUUAUUCGUUUUCUAACCGGUUCUUAAUUUAAGCUGCAGGUUUAUUUGGGAACUGUAUUGUCUUUUAGAUUAUUUUAAAUGAUGACAACUUGUUGCUUUUUUGCUCUAUCUCUUUCAUAAGUACAUGUCUUUGGUAGAUCAAAAUUCAAGUUCUUGCUAUUUUUUCUUCAUCACUUCCGCCAGUACCCGACUUCAUUCUGUUAUCCCUGGCAUUGGAAUAAAAAGUUCAUUUCAUACAGUAAACUUCAAAGAAAAUUGGACGUAAAAGUAUAUCACAUACAAUGAUGGGAUAGUUAUGGAUUAAUACACAAUAUAUCUUUUGUUCUGCUUUUGUUGUUUUCCCCUUUAUUUCUACACUUGCGAGCACUCCUUUCUUGCAUGUUGCAGAGUUGUUGUGCACAGUUGCAAGCGGGAGCUCAUUCAAAAAUACUGUGCUUCUGUUAAAAAAGGACGGUUUCCUGAUUAACUAUCAAUUCCCUUUGUUUAUCAUUUGUUCAUUCGUGACCUUGGUUUUAGGAUUAGUGAUCUUUCUCGGGCUUCUCCGUUUCAGCUGGACAUCUUUUUAUGGUUGUUUUGUUGUUGUGUGGGGUUACGAAAGGCCAAAUAGUACUUUACUGAUAAUGGCGAUAUGUGGCAUACGAUAUAUCUAUCGAGCUUGGACAUUAUGUGAUACAUGCCAACUGAUGACCCCUGAAUAUUGUAUAUGAACUGGCGAUUUGUCCAUUUUCGAUAUAAGGUGAUACAUGCCAAGAGUUAAUAUUGGGAAUGCCUGAUAUGUUCUUUAAAUUUGUGGUGUGGUUGCUCGCGAGAUUGGUCAUCUCCUCCAGACGGUAAUCCUACUACUAAGUGUGUGUUCAGUCGCAUGUUUAUGAUAUAGAAACUAAGUUAGAUCAUAGAGUGAAUAUAUUCAAUAGACAUGAUGAUAAAGAGGAGGCGGCUGACAUGAAUGGGCGGUUGUUGCCUCGGAGUCACCCUUGGCGGAGACAGAGGAGCCGGAUCCUCUUGAAUGUGACAGUUGAGAGGGAGGAAU